GUGUCAGCAGCCGCGGUAAGACAGAGGGUGCAAACGUUGCUCGGAAUUACUGGGCGUAAAGCGCGUGUAGGCGGACUGGUGUGUCGGAUGUGAAAUCCCCAGGCUCAACCUGGGAACUGCAUUCGAAACUGCCAGCCUUGAGUGGUGGAGAGGGAAGUGGAAUUCCUGGUGUAGAGGUGAAAUUCGUAGAUAUCAGGAGGAACACCAGUGGCGAAGGCGGCUUCCUGGACACCAACUGACGCUGAGACGCGAAAGCGUGGGGAGCAAACAGGAUUAGAUACCCUGGUAGUCCACGCCGUAAACGAUGGGCACUAGGUGUCGCGGGUUUUGACCCCCGCGGUGCCGUAGCAAACGCGUUAAGUGCCCCGCCUGGGGAGUACGGCCGCAAGGCUAAA
rnacentral:rRNA from 1 species